AUGAUCCUGGCUCAGAACGAACGCUGGCGGCGCGCCUAAUACAUGCAAGUCGAGCGAGAAGACGUAGCAAUACGUUUGUAAAGCGGCGAACGGGUGAGGAAUACAUGGGUAACCUACCCUCGAGUGGGGAAUAACUAGCCGAAAGGUUAGCUAAUACCGCAUACGACUCUCGGUCUGCGGAUCGGGAGGGAGAGCGAUACCGUGGGUAUCGCGCUCCUGGAUGGGCUCAUGUCCUAUCAGCUUGUUGGUGAGGUAACGGCUCACCAAGGCUUCGACGGGUAGCUGGUCUGAGAGGACGAUCAGCCACACUGGCACUGCGACACGGGCCAGACUCCUACGGGAGGCAGCAGUAAGGAAUAUUGCGCAAUGGGCGACAGCCUGACGCAGCGACGCCGCGUGGGGGAUGAAGGUCUUCGGAUUGUAAACCCCUUUCGGCAGGGAAGAUGGAACGGGAAACCGUUCGGACGGUACCUGCAGAAGCAGCCACGGCUAACUUCGUGCCAGCAGCCGCGGUAAUACGAAGGUGGCAAGCGUUGUUCGGAUUUACUGGGCGUACAGGGAGCGUAGGCGGUUGGGUAAGCCCUUCGUGGAACCUCCGGGCCUAACCCGGAAAGUGCGGAGGGGACUGCUCGGCUAGAGGAUGGGAGAGGAGCGCGGAAUUCCCGGUGUAGCGGUGAAAUGCGUAGAGAUCGGGAGGAAGGCCGGUGGCGAAGGCGGCGCUCUGGAACAUUUCUGACGCUGAGGCUCGAAAGCGUGGGGAGCAAACAGGAUUAGAUACCCUGGUAGUCCACGCCUUAAACGAUGGAUACUAAGUGUCGGCGGGUUACCGCCGGUGCCGCAGCUAACGCAGUAAGUAUCCCGCCUGGGAAGUACGGCCGCAAGG
rnacentral:rRNA from 1 species